rnacentral:lncRNA from 1 species
CGCUGUUGCUUAGGUAAAUCCUGUCGCAUAGAUGAUGACAAAACAACCACAACAAAGUAAAAGACGUAAAAAUGUGAGAUUUUUGGGGAGAGGUGAUAAACCAAACCAAAUUCUUUUUGGCCUUGUAUAUAUAGAGUGAAAGAAAAUGAGUUAUAUUAUCCAGUCAUUCAAAUCCUGUUUGUGAAUAUGUUUAUUAGGUGACGAAUGAGUGUUCAUUUGAUAGCGGAAAAAUAAGUAGUAAACUGAGUAACCCAAAGAGGAAAGAUAGGCCAAAUGAUUGUCCUUUUUCCUUUGGUAUUAAUUGGGUUUCUUUCUUAGAAUUAGGCCAAGUUAUGUGUUGAGUAUGUAAUGUAGUGUGAGAGUCUCAAAAGAGAGACUUAUUCUUUGUGACUGAAAAAGUUUGUCACUCUAUCCCGUCAUUUGUAAUUGUAAUCAGAAGGAGAGGAGAAGAUAGUCUUGUUAGACAAAUUUUAUUCACAUUGUGUUUAUUCUACUACUAGUGGUAAUUUCUUUUUCAGUAGUGCUACUGAUUUGCUUAUACUUCUGCUGUAUGGUAGCAAGGAAGCAAGUGCAAUGAGCUCUUUUUUGUCAAGUUUUGAUAUCAACAAUGUAAGUGUAGUAUUGUUUUACAUAUAGCUUUAUGAAAAGUCCAUUUAAUGGUGUUAUUAUUGCCAAUACUAUGUGAUUCUGCUGAGGAUUCUGAACUUAUCUAAUUGCUAACAAUGACUUGAGUUGUGGCUUUCCCAGGUCAGGUCAGUGUUCUUCUUUAUUUAGCUCAGAUAACAUUUAUUUGUAUAAAUUUGAUGUCUUCUGAAUAAAAAUGCUGUUUCUUUGAGGAAUUAGUGUAAAUUGAACCCAUUUUCAUGCAAAUAAGAUUAGAAAACAAAAUUAUGUAGUCUUUGAACAGGAAUGGAAAUGGAUAUCUCUUUAUGUUCAUUUUCAGCAGUUAUGUAAACCGUAACGCCUCUUUCUUUUAGUAAGAUAAAUCAAAAUAUAACACUUAAUACUGGGACUUUUGAUAAGGGAUCCUCCCAAAAAAAAAAACGCAAGUAGGUGCUAAGAGACCAACGGAGGGCUUGACUAAAGCGACGAAUUUCAAAUUCUUUCCAUGAGAAGUAACCGAAUAACCAGGAAGCUAUAUAGGUUUCUUCUUCGUUCUUUCCCUGAUUGCAUCAUUAGAUAAAUUAGUUAAUAGUUGUGGAGGAGAGAUACUCGUUUAAAUUAAACGCAGAAUUUGUUUAAACAACUAAAGCUUGCUGAACAGGCAACCAUUUAAAUAUAAAUGAUUUUACAUCCUGUAACUUAAUUCCUUGUACACCUCUGAGCUCUGUCAAUAAAUGCCUAAAAGCUUCUAGGGUUGAUCAGGUAGUUUAACUUUUUCCCUACUCUACUCAGGGAUAAAGGCAUUACUAGGAAACGAAGGUAACUGUUCCAUUUGGCUACGAUGUUAAAUCAUCCAAUUAUUGGUCUCAAUUACCUUUUUCAGUUAAAUCAUAUUCUUACUUGUUGCAAUUACCUUUUCUUUUUCAGUCGUUCUUUAGCCGAGGGUCUAUCGGAAACAGCCUCUCUGUCCUUCCAGGGGUAGGGGUAGGGGUAAGGCUGCGUACAUCUUACCCUCCCCAGACCCCACUUGUGGGAAACUACUGGGUUUGCUGUUGUAACUUAAAACUUCUCAAGGAUUUUAUAUUUCAUUAUUCCCCUCUACUUUUUUGCCCCAUCUAUCGAGUUUUUUAUUCUAGCUAAUAGUUUUUUUGGGGUUAAAAUUGUCCAAAUAUUGUUUGCUAGAUUAGUUACUGAUAAUUAAGUGAAUUGAGCUGUGUACUUGGUGUUCUCUGUAAGGUUUUACACUAUGCAGCUUAAAGAUCGGUUACUCAGAUUUCCUAAGAUAAAGCAUCGUGCCAACAUGACCCAAUAUCUUGGUUCUAUUAGAGGCAUUGUUUGGUAUAUUAGAGUUUCUAGGCCAUCUAAUGUGGAUCCGGCUGUUAUCAAGGGAGCCAUGGGUGCUGAAAUUGCGCAGUCACAUUGUCGGCACUUUCAUGUGCUACCUGCUGUUGAUGAACUUGCAGGAUUUCAGAAUUUCAGGUCCAAAGUUUAUAAAGCUGAAUUAUUAUGGCAUGCUGAGCCAUUAUUUACAUAUGAUAAGAUAAACUUCUACAAUCUGGAGCUGAACAAUACUAAUGUAAGGUUCUUCUGUUUUCUCCUAUUACUGUUGAAUUGUUUAAUUUUAUGCAUUUGAUUACAUGCAUAGUGAAUAUAUUGUUUUUGACUAACCAGGAGAACGACCCCCUUACUUUCUUGGUAACAUUAGUUUCGUAAUUAUUGGCUCUUAAUUUUUAAGCCUAGUUGCUUCCGCUGAUAAAAAGAGUACGAUUUUAGCCCGUAGGAAGCUUUAAUGAGCCAAAACUUUUAGAAAAGAAAAUCCUCCAGAAUUUAAGGCUUCUGAAACUAGACCUGCUGUGAGGAAACUUACAUAAGCAAAACUGAUAUUUGGAAAGGCCGGAUUCUCGGCAUCUUUUUUCUCCCAUUUCUUUGGGCACCAUUUCACAUCUAUUAAUAUGAUCGACAACUAAAUUUGUGUUUAUUCAUGUCAUAUUCUGAUUCAUAAGUAACAUCUUCUGGCUAUCAUUAACAUGUGGAAAUGUUAUAACUGUCUCAUAUUUAUGUGUUAGUUGAUAGAGGAUGAAACUUUUUGUUUAUAUACUUUUGGGAAGUAAAACUCCCUCCCCCUUCCUCAUCAAGGCCAAGUUCAUUUUCUUGGGUUAAGAGCUUAGAAGUAUUUUACUGAUAGGUGAUUGUGAGGCUUGACCUCUGUUAGCUCUGGUAUUACAUAAACUGUUGUCGAAUCAUCUUUGUUAAAACUUUAAACAUUUAGUGAGGAGACAAUUUUAUUUAUUUAUUUUGUGGCUGCAGCAAUAUGUUUAGAUAUCUUAUGCUGUGUUUUAACAGUCAUAAAGAGCCAGUUAACACUAAAUAAGCUGUGCAAUCUGCAAACGGACACCAUCCAGUUGAGGAUUGAUAACAUUGCCAAGGUGGUGCUGGCCUAUAAAACCGUAUUUGGUUAAUAGCUGUUUUUUAAGUCAUAAGCAAUGAAUGAAUCAAUUCUUUUGUAGAUGUUUUGAUCUGUUGUACAUCAUGUGCAGAUUAGUGAUCACACAACAUAUGACUUCAUUGAGAAGAAUGGGGUGGUUUUUGUCCCACCUCAUUUUUCCCGAGGGGAUAGGGAGUUUUUCCAAUUAAAGUGACAUUAUUCGAAAUGAGAUUAUUUAUUUAAUUUCAGAGUCGCCACUUGGAAUAAUUUAUGGUAUCAUAAGUCACCGGUUUAUUUUAAAAUCCCAAAUCGAGGAAAUUGAGUUUAUUAUGGUUCGCGAACAUAGAAGACUGGGUAAGGAAUUCUUUUAACCCGGAAGAAGGUGUGAGGCACUCCCGAGUUUCGUGAUUUUAGCACGGUCGCACAACUAUUAAUAAGUGGCCUAAUUAUCUGAUUUAUUACAUGUUUUAAAUCUAUUGUGCAUUUUUAACUUUAUAAUCGCUUUUAUUUAUUUAUGGAGUUUGUUUGAACUAGUUGCGAUAUUGCGCACUCAUUUGUUUUUGUACACAUUGUGAAUCGCGUCACGGGAACCGUACCCACGAUCUACAACAUGUUUUUUUUAUUUUUGUUUGAAGUUAUGGUAGGGUCACGUGAAAUGCACACCCGAGUUGGGAAUUAUGUAUCAUGACUAUACCACGGGAACCAUACCCAUAGCUGUGAUGAUUUAAUUACGCGUCUAAAGCAAACUACAAAUGUUCAUUAAUUAUUAUGAUUUGGAGUUAUAGUCGAGUCAUAUGAAAUGCGCACUCGAAUUGGAAUUAUGUUCAUAACUAUGCCAGAGAAACGUACCCAUAGUCACGAUUUAUUAUUAAUCGCGCCUAAAGCAACUAGCGAUAUAUAGUUAUUUAUUCAACUGUUUGAGAUCAUGUAUUGGGGGUCUAUAACUAAGGAGUCAAUGUUAGGAUAAAUUACAGAUAAGGUAAUGACGGGUGAAUUCUGAGUCAUGGAAGUUUGAAUUAAUACCAAAGUACAUACCAACAGAAUAAAUUGAUGGAUAAAACUGGAUCACAAUCUAACUUUUGAAGAGGUUCGCAUGCAUAACCAGAAAUGAAUUAAUCCGAUGCUUUUAACAAAACCUUCAAAUGGUCCAAAUGAAUGGAAUGGGUUAAAGGCAAAGUCCAGUAACAUGAGGCCUUAGGACUACUGAGGUCUACAACAUACUCCAAUAACUAAUUUCAUCAAGCACAUAACACCAAUUUGCAAACUAUAUGUUUAACAAAUAAAAAUCCUUUGACAGAGUAUUAAAAUGAAUACAUAUAUGCAGAUUUCAUAGCAAUACAAUAUCCAUCAGCAAUCAUUUAAACUGCAAACAUAACUCGGACAACAGCAAAGCAAUCCACAAUUAGCCAAAUAAAUAUAGAGAUGGAGAUGUACGGAGCUAAACGAAGCAGAAGCAGCAAGUUCAGCAACAAACAGUUUUUCAACAACUCGAUUUAAACUUGAAAAUCCCAGGGAUUACAUAGCAGAUCAACUAAGAGAAGCAGCUGGUGAAACCAUUAGCCCACCCCCCCUUUUCAUCUAUUUCAGAAUUGCGGAGUUUUUCUCCGAACAACAGUGAGGACACAAAGAGUUGCCCGAAUAAAUUUUUUUUCCCGGCCAAAUUCGAGACUCGUCACAAAUGGGGGAAGAGACGAGGAGGAGGAGAAACGUUGAGGUGGAGUAUGGGAGGGGGUAGCGGCUUAGAGAUGGAGCUGCUAGGUUUGAAGGAAUGAAGAAGGAGAGAGGAAGGUGUCUGCUCAGCUACGUUAGGGAAUUAGGGGAGGGUAUGAUGAUAGGGAAUGAGAAUAGAGAGACGGCUAGGGUUUAUUCAUGGGGAGGGGAUCUGAUGAUUUUUUAGGGUUUUGGAAAAUGGAGUUUUUAAAGAGGGGAGAAGAUCCGGUUGGACCAAUUAAGGAGAUUGGUUAGGGCAAUUUUGUGGACUUUGGGCCAUUUUAAGCUUUUGGCCCAGUUAUAAACAAGAUCACAUAUUUCCUUAAUUCCUUUUCCUUGUUUCUCUUCUUUUUUUUUUAUAAAUAAAAAUCCUAAUCAAAU